rnacentral:rRNA from 1 species
AAGCGGCAACAGCUCAAAUUUGAAAUCUGGCCCUUUCAGGGUCCGAGUUGUAAUUUGUAGAGGGUGCUUUGGCGUUGGCUGUGGUCUAAGUUCCUUGGAACAGGACGUCGCAGAGGGUGAGAAUCCCGUAUGUGGCCGCCAGUCUUCGCCGUGUAAAGCCCCUUCGACGAGUCGAGUUGUUUGGGAAUGCAGCUCUAAAUGGGAGGUAAAUUUCUUCUAAAGCUAAAUAUUGGCCAGAGACCGAUAGCGCACAAGUAGAGUGAUCGAAAGAUGAAAAGCACUUUGGAAAGAGAGUCAAAAAGCACGUGAAAUUGUUGAAAGGGAAGCGCUUGCAGCCAGACUUGCCUGUAGUUGCUCAUCCGGGCUUUUGCCCGGUGCACUCUUCUAUGGGCAGGCCAGCAUCAGUCCCAGCGGUUGGAUAAAUGCCCGUUGAAUGUACCUCUCUUCGGGGAGGACUUAUAGCUUCGGGCGGCAUACAACCAGCCGGGAGCGAGGUCCG